AUACGUAGGGAGCGAGCGUUGUCCGGAAUUACUGGGUGUAAAGGGUGCGUAGGCGGGACUGCAAGUCAGAUGUGAAAUGCCGGGGCUCAACCCCGGAGCUGCCUUUGAAACUGUGGUUCUUGAGUGAGGUAGCGGUAAGCGGAAUUCCUAGUGUAGCGGGGAAAUGCGUAGAUAUUAGGAGGAACAUCGGUGGCGAAGGCGGCUUACUGGGCCUUUACUGACGCUGAGGCACGAAAGCGUGGGGAGCAAACAGGAUUAGAUACCCUGGUAGUCCACGCUGUAAACGAUGAUGACUAGGUGUGGGGGGACUGAACCCUUCCGUGCCGCAGUUAACACAAUAAGUCAUCCACCUGGGGAGUACGGCCGCAAGGUUGAAACUCAAAUGAAUUGACGGGG
rnacentral:rRNA from 1 species